UUACGGUCAUAUCAUGUUGAAAGACCGGUUCUCAUAGAUCACCGAAGUUAAGCAACGUCGAACCUGAUCAGUACUUGGAGGAGUGACCGCUUGGAUAUUCCCAGUGCUGUAA